rfam:Xenopus tropicalis strain Nigerian Chr10_contig_384, whole genome shotgun sequence.
GUAGUCGUGGCCGAGUGGUUAAGGCGAUGGACUUGAAAUCCAUUGGGGUUUCCCCACGCAGGUUCGAAUCCUGCCGACUACG